rnacentral:rRNA from 1 species
GAUGAACGCUGGCGGCGUGCCUAAUACAUGCAAGUCGAGCGAACAGACGAGGAGCUUGCUCCUUCGACGUUAGCGGCGGACGGGUGAGUAACACGUAGGUAACCUACCUAUAAGACUGGGAUAACUUCGGGAAACCGGAGCUAAUACCGGAUAAUAUUUCGAACCGCAUGGUUCGAUAGUGAAAGAUGGCUUUGCUAUCACUUAUAGAUGGACCUGCGCCGUAUUAGCUAGUUGGUAAGGUAACGACUUACCAAGGCAACGAUACGUAGCCGACCUGAGAGGGUGAUCGGCCACACUGGAACUGAGACACGGUCCAGACUCCUACGGGAGGCAGCAGUAGGGAAUCUUCCGCAAUGGGCGAAAGCCUGACGGAGCAACGCCGCGUGAGUGAUGAAGGUCUUCGGAUCGUAAAACUCUGUUAUUAGGGAAGAACAAACGUGUAAGUAACUGUGCACGUCUUGACGGUACCUAAUCAGAAAGCCACGGCUAACUACGUG